GGCAUGUAGCUCUGUGGUAGAGCAUUUCCUUGGCAUGUAUGAGGCCCUGGAUUCAAACCCCAGCACCA
rnacentral:tRNA from 1 species